AUUGAAUUGGGAGCUUGGCCUCUGGUGAACGGUGUUGUCGGUGAACACCGGCUCGUAGUCACAUUGCUUUCUGCUUUUGUUCCAUUGCCCAGUAGUCUCUCCUUUGCACCUCAACCACUCUCUCUGCAAUGCAACACACACUUUUUAUCUCUUUCUAUCUUCUCUUUUUGUAGCAGAGGGUGAUCUCAGCCCAAAUGUUGUAAUGGGGGAUUUUCAUGAACAUUGUUUGCCAUGGAUUCUGGAUUCCAUGAACAAGUCUUUUAGGUCUUUCUUUCUAUUCUAUUAUGUUCUGUUCGUCUUUAAUUUCAUUUUUAUUUUCUUGAAUUCCAUUUUCUUUUUUCCCUUUUUCGAAUGAACUGAUUUUUGAGGAAUGGAUGAAAUGCAAAAGCCCCUCGCCCCUCUCUUUGCCUUUUCCCAAUAACAGUUAAAUUCAACCCAAAGACCAAACCUUCAAAGUCGCUUUAGAACAUAGUUCCUUCGAAACUCAUCCCAGG
rnacentral:lncRNA from 1 species